rnacentral:lncRNA from 1 species
AUCUGUGGGUGAGCUUCAACAGUGUGUCCACUGCAGUACUGUCAGUGUUGGGCUAUCUGCUCUACAGGUUCUCACAAGGUCUCCCAACCGUGAUAAGGUGGCCGAUACGUAUGAUAUGUUCUCUCACAGGUAAGUUCUCAAAGGAGCUCCGUGUGUCUGCACCAUCAUAUCACCAAAGGACUUGCAGUUUCACACGACACGCUGCUCAUCUCACCUUGAAGAAUAAAGAGGAUUCUUUACGUUGCCUGGUUACUGCUGCAUUGUGUUUGUAACAGCUGUAAACAGUCUACAUCAUGCUGUCAAACACAUGCACACUUGUACUACCUCCAAGCUGUGGAGUCAGGCAUCUCAGCUGUCAUCCACCUUCCACUCUUCUGGUCUUUCCCCAUGAAACUGUCCAAACAUCUGACUUAAAUGAAUAAAUUUAAAUGUAUCUGACACUUUUCUCCCAAGCAACUUAGUGUUAAGGUACCCAUUUAUACAGCUGGGUAAUUUUUUUCCGGAGCAGUUCAGGGUAAGUACCUUGCUCAAGGGAACUACAGCUGGAGGUGGGAAUCAAACCUGCAACUUUUGACUUGCUCAGGAUUUUUCUCAUAGUAUCUCACUCUGUGCUCUUAGCCCUAGUUUCUUUGUAAUACCUGGACUUUACCUUCAAGCUGCUGCUGUUUUUUUGCUAAACGACCGUGUCAAGUCUAGUCCCGGGAUGUUAAAGCUGCAGCUCAGCUUCUCAUCCUGAAUAAUGAUCAUCAUAGACACCACGUGAUCUUGCAAGCGCAUGUGUUGACCAAGCCUAACUUAAGUCGCUCUGUACAAACUAUGAAGCUAUCGAACAAUAGCAAUAAUGAUACCAACUGUAGUUACAAAGUACCGAGACUAAAUCUGGGUACCUGCACUCCACACACAUUGUCAUGUUACCAAGAUCCUCAGAGGUGGUUCUAGCCGUGGUCAACAUUUCUGUCCCAUGCAGGCCUGACGUCCCUCUGGAGCUGGGUGACUUGCCUCCUGCAGACCCUUCUGAGGUUUCAGGCCCUGUUGAAGUGGCUGUCAACAUUGUGGAGGAUCAUAAUCAGUGCGAUUACCACUCUGACGAAAUUUGUGGUGGCUGUGACCAAACUCCUUGCAUCAGUCAGCGGGCUCGUCAGAGGCAACUCUCACCAAAGAGGACAAUUCCAAAGCUCAGCCCAAGUCAUCAGGAACCCCCAGGACUAUGUGCUAUGAGUGAUCCUUGUGGGUCCAGAAGCUGUUGGGCAGAGCUUGGUACUGGAUGCUCUACUGGGCUGCAGCAGCAGCAGCCAACUGGAGGGAUGGACCCUGGGUGUUUCUACAAGGAGCGUAAGCUGGAGGGCUGUGGUGGGGGGAAGGCAGGUGACCGUGGUGAACACUCCAGAUCUGCUGGGAUCUUCCCUAGGGGUACGGGAGAGGGCAUGGGAGGCCUUGCGGAGCCUUCAGCUGGCCAGUCCAGGGCCUCAUGCCUUCCUACUGCUCAUGCAGAUCCCUGCACCUGGCAGAAGGAUGGAUGCUGAUGCAGCUCGAACCCUGAGAACACUCCUGAACCUGAUAGGGGAAGAGGCGCUCAGUUAUGUGCUGCCAGUCCUCACCCAUACAGGAUCCAUCAAGAGCUCCAUUGUACCCAGCCAGCUGCUGGAGGGGUUGCCUGGGGAGCUCGAGGCUAUGCUUUCCAUGUGCUUUCACAAACCGCUGGUUCUCAGCUGUGGUUCCCAAGCCAAAAGGAGGGCGCUGGGGAGUGAGCUGCUCGAGAAAGUGGAGGAGAUGAGCGCACUGGGGGGAUACUACCGGCACCAGCUCCACAGGGAAGAGGACAGCUUUCGGGAGAAGCUGUUGGAGGACAUGGCAGCUGCACUGGAGCUCAAGUUGGAGAAGAAGGAGGAACUGAGUGCGACCAGAUGGCAUUGAGAAUGAGGAGUGUGCGAUGGUGUCGGGGCUGGAGUAGGUAGGUCUCCUACAUCGCUAUUAGAACUUCAAGAAGACAUCAAGAAAUUUCACAUGAAGUGGUUGUAUGUUAAGGUUGUAAAUUUUCCACUUCUGAGUCAAGUUUAGCUGAAGUACCUCCAGGCUUUUAUUCAUAGUCUCUAACUUCCUUGGACCACAAAUUGUCCCAACAAACAGUAUGAAACUCCAUUUUAUUUUUUACUUAUUGUGUCCAGUUCAACUAACAUUUAUUUAAUGUAAACAUUUUGUGGAUAAACUUUUUCAAAUUAAUGUAUGAAACAAAACUGCCAUACACAUUACGUAGCAAAUAAGAGUAGCAGGUACCCAAUCCAUUUACAUUAAACCAGAAAAUAAAAAAGUGAGGAAAAGCA